AGAAAGUGAGGGGGUGUGUGCAACAGCCUUCAUUUUACCAUGGCUUCGAGGUGCCACAUGAAAAUGUUUCUUCUGCUCCUUAUACUGGAGAUCGUUCUGCUCAUUACCAUGCCUUCUGGAGGCCUGGCGGGUCCGAGUGCGACACAGAGAAGCAAUAGUGACAACCCCAACUGCCCCCCUUGCUACAGACCUCCUUGUCGUCAUUGUUGAAAGUAUACGGGGUUUUGCCCCAUUUAAUUUUCAUUCCUCAAAAGUCACAUAUAGAGUGA